rnacentral:snoRNA from 1 species
CUUAGCAAGUCCUUGAAUCUUUCCCAAGCUUCAUACAAGCUCUCUUGAUCAUGAUGAGCAAAUGUCAUUAUCUCAUUACGCAGCUU